UGCGCUUGUAGUCGUGCAUCUUCCGAUCACGCUCCAGUAAGGGAAUUAAGGACGGCAUGUUGUCCUUGUAACAGGGAUCCAGCAGGCUGGCCACCCAGUAAUCAGCACAAGUUAGAAUGUGGGCAACAUGGCAGUCGUUGCGCAGGCAUUCGGAUCGCACGUCCCCUUGACAGCGACAACACAUUCGGAUGUCUGCCCUAUCAACUUUCGAUGGUACUUUCUGCGCCUACCAUGGUGACCACGGGUAACUGGGAAUCAGGGUUCGAUUUUGGAGAGGAAGCCUGAGAAACAGUUACCACAUCCAAAGAAGGCAGCAGGCGUGCAAAUUACCCAGUCCUGACGCGGGGAGGUAGUGACG